rnacentral:pre_miRNA from 1 species
UUGGUUUAAAUCAUUGUGGAUCUAUACUCUGAAAAUAGCACUUACGCAAAAUGGUAGAACAUACAUUGAUUUCAUCCAA